AGAAGAGAGACAAGUGCGGUCCCAUGAGACCCGGAAUGCUUAUGGUCUACCCCGCAGUCAAUCAAUACCAAUUCUGGUUUGGAAAUCAAUGCAUCUGCACUCUGAGUUGCACUGGAUCCUGGCGGACCAGAGCUCUGCACGCGAGGCCUGGAUCUGCUACCCCAGAUGAAGCCCAGCCUCAGGGGUGAGGCUGCCCAACAAGUUCCUGACUCAGAGGAAGCCACAGCUUGAGUUGUCAUCGAUGUCGCUGUUGGCCCAGGCGUGAGUUGGUACCACCUAACACCCCUCAAGAGGAGACCCAGCCUCCUG
rnacentral:lncRNA from 1 species